rnacentral:rRNA from 1 species
GAAAUCCUGUGGCGAGAGGAUUCAGUCUGGCGUCUCGCGCGCGCUUGACCGGAAGACAAUGAUGGCUUCCCGGGAUCGGGCGCCGUCCGGUCGCGCGGUCGCGUCCCGUCAGACGCAUUUGACUCUCGCCCGAAGGACGCUGCAGCCGGUGGGGCAGUUGCAAACGUGACGGCCUGAAAGUCGGGAGACGGCAGUUGACCGGUGGCGCGCACUCCGCGCGCCUGCCGGUUGUUAGCCUUCCCGUCGGUGGCCCGUCGCCCCACCGUGGUGUCGCCAGGCCCUAACGGGCCCUCUCCGUCUCCUUAAAUCCUAAGCGAGUAGAUCGCCGCUGGUUCGGGCCGCCGAUCCGUCGCACGCCUCGCGCGUGGAGGGUCGAGCGAGUCUGCGCCGCAGGCGGCCGGCAGGGCUCGCCGGAGACCGGAGGCUCGCAGCGAGUAGGUCGGUCACCCACCCGACCCGUCUUGAAACACGGACCAAGGAGUCUAACAUGUGCGCGAGUCAAUGGGUCUUGAACAGGCCCAGAGGCGCAAUGAAAGCAAAGGCCAGGCGUCGUGCCGGCCGAGUCGGGAUCCCCGCCUCUGCGGGGCGCACCGACGACCCGUCCCGUCCGGCUCGCCGGUGGGGCGGAGUGUGAGCGUACAC